rnacentral:ncRNA from 1 species
UUAUCCCUUGGUAAUAAGGUAUUGAUUUUCAUUAUGCCUUUACACUUUGUUGAUUUAUGUAAAGGCAUAAAUCAGUACUAACCACAAAGUGGUAACCACAAAGUGGUUAUGGUCAUAUCUACUUGACCCGAAACCGGGUGAUCUAACCAAGGGCAGGCUGAAGGAAGGAUAACACUUUCUGGAGGGCCCGACCCACGUCUGUGGCAAUAGACGGGGAUGACCUUUGGCUAGGGGUGAAAAGCCAAUCGAACUCCGAAAUAGCUGGUUUUCCGCGAAAUCUAUAUAGGUAGAGCGUAAAAAUGCUUGGUGCAGGGGGUAGAGCACUUCAUGGGCAAGGGCAGCCCAAAGCUGUACCAACCCCAAGAAAACUCCGAAUACUUGCACCAUGGAUUUGCAGGCAGACACAGGGUGAUAAGGUCCUAUGUCGAGAGGGAAAAAGCCCAGAUCGUACGUUAAGGCCCCAAAACGGUUGCUGAGUGGUUAAGGAUGUGAAUUAGCAAUGACAACCAGCAGGUAGGCUUAGAAGCAGCCAUUCUUUAAAGAAAGCGCUCACUGGUCUAGCUUUUUUACACCGAAAAUGUAUCGGGGCUCAAGCAACCUGCCGAAGCGACGAUGCUAAUUACGUAGGAUUGCCGUCCAUUAUUUCAUGAUGGAAGGUAAGUAUACUUUCUUUUAUAUUAGCAGGUAGCGGAACGUCCCGUAAGCUGCAGAAGGCACGCCGAAAGGUACGGCUGGAAGCAUCGGGAGUGAAUAUGCUGGCAUGAGUAACAAUAAAUCAUGUGAAAUGCAUGAUCGUCGAAAGUUCACAGGUUUCCACAGCACGCUUGUCGAUGUGGAUCUAUUCGGCCCCUAAACAAAGAGGCGAAAGCCCGCCUUGUGAUGGGAAUUUUCUGCCACUAGGUUAGAGGGAGAAAUCUUUCCAAUUAAUGGGCAGAAAAGUGGGUAGGGUGACGUGGUACAUGCUAGUGUUACCACUUAUACCACUAUUUUAUAGUGG